rnacentral:rRNA from 1 species
AGUGAACGCUGGCGGCGUGCCUAAUACAUGCAAGUCGAACGGAAUUUAAAAGAGCUUGCUCUUUUAAAUUUAGUGGCGCACGGGUGAGUAAUAUAUAGCUAAUCUGCCCCUUGCUGGAGGACAACAGUUAGAAAUGACUGCUAAUACUCCAUACUCCUUUUUACCAUAAGAUAAAUCGGGAAAGAAUUUCGGCAAGGGAUGAGACUAUAUCGUAUCAGCUAGUCGGUGGGGUAACGGCCUACCGAGGCUAUGACGCGUAACUGGUCUGAGAGGAUGAUCAGUCACAUUGGAACUGAGACACGGUCCAAACUCCUACGGGAGGCAGCAGUAGGGAAUAUUGCGCAAUGGGGGAAACCCUGACGCAGCAACGCCGCGUGGAGGAUGACACUUUUCGGAGCGUAAACUCCUUUUGUUAGGGAAGAAAUAAGACGG